ensembl:lncRNA DICER1-AS1 DICER1 antisense RNA 1
GCGGAGGCCGGAGAGGCGUUUGCGGCCCAGCGCCUGGACUGGACCUUGGCGUUGGGCCGCAGUUGCCCGGAGUUUUUGGGGCCCCCGGGAACCCGCGCGCCGAGGCCGGCUAAGUUUGGCAGACUCUCUGAGCUCUCGGAAUUCGACUGCCUCCAUUGUUGCUCCUUCUGGCACCCACAGACCGUAACGUGGCCGUAAUUGUUUCCCGGAGAGCUUAGCUUCCCUCUGAGCACCUCCCUCCCCUUUUUAAAGUACCUUCCCACUCGCCUGCGUUUCCUCGCGUUAGUGGUGCAGGGGCCUCCGCAUUUGGGGAAAUAACAAACACCCACUUCCGCCCCCCACCCCAACCGGGAUCCCCAGAUAAUGAGAAAUAGAUGGUGGCCCUCUGUUUGUAAGCUGUUCAUUUGCAUAGGUCGGAACCGCGCACCACAGCUUGAAGCUAGGAAUUAAAAUAUCGGUGGGAAUUAAAUAAGUGGCUGGCUUAAAGAACAUCUUCUUAAUUUAUCCCCAAAUGUAGACAUCUCUUCAGUGGACCCCCUGAUAGGCCGGUUUGCUCCAGAAGAGACGGGGUUUCACCAUGUUGGCCAUGAUGGUCUCGAUUUCUGACCUUGUCAUCCGUCCGCCUUGGCCUCCCAAAGUGCUGGGAUUACGGGCGUGAGCCACCGUACCCAGCCUGCUUCCUGUUUUAACAGACGAAGAAAUGGAAUAACUUCCAACAACACAGGUUGGAGCUGAAGGAGUGCCCAGGCUGCGGAUGGAGGAAGGACGUGCUCGGGAGAAGGUGAAGAUGGGAGAGAAGCAAGAUCUUCUGUGUUUGGACCAAGGACACAUUUCCUUACUCCAUAGCAGCUGUGGUCAGUGGCUUAGCUCGGACAAGGAGAUGAGAGCCCAUGUGUUGUGAGGGUUCUUCUGGGAACUCUGAGAAGGCAGGAGCCGCCCCCGCCCUUCACUGCCUCUCUUCCAUUCUGCAGCAUGGAAUAUGGAUGUGUGGUCUGGAUGUACAGACACCAUUUUGGACCAUAAAGACAAGGACGAUUGUCUAAGGAUGACACAGCCAGAGCACUGAGAGUGGCGAGAAGGACAGGGGAGCUGCUGUGCCAAGCAGGACUGUCUCUCUUAAGAGAAAAAUAAAAUUUAUUGGUGUUUAAACCAUUGCUUUUUUGGGCUGUCACGUCACUGGAAUUAAUCUGAAACGCUGCAGCAAUUAAUGGAAAAAAUAGAACCCCAUCUUCACGCUUUGAGCUUUUUAUGGCAUAACCACUCUGUCCAAAGUAAUAUACCACCAAGUUGAAACAUGAUUAUGCUCAGCUGUUUACAGGCUUUGGAAAUUUCAGUACAGGGUUUAUCUUCCUGUCAUACAGCCUGCCAUUCCCCUUUUAAUGUGGCCAGAUCGUUUGAUGUGUUUUCUCUUUGUCUCCAUUCAAGCAGGGAGAAGGCUCUGUGCAUCCAGGAAGGUUUGUGAAGGGCCUCCUGGUAUCUGUAUUCAAAA